UACGUAGGGUGCAAGCGUUAAUCGGAAUUACUGGGCGUAAAGCGUGCGCAGGCGGCUUUGCAAGUCAGCUGUGAAAUCCCCGGGCUUAACCUGGGAACUGCAUUUGUGACUGCAUGGCUAGAGUGCGGCAGAGGGGGAUGGAAUUCCGCGUGUAGCAGUGAAAUGCGUAGAUAUGCGGAGGAACACCGAUGGCGAAGGCAAUCCCCUGGGCCUGCACUGACGCUCAUGCACGAAAGCGUGGGGAGCAAACAGG
rnacentral:rRNA from 1 species